GGAGAGUUUGAGCAUGGCUCAGAUUGAACGCUGGCGGCAUGCCUUACACAUGCAAGUCGAACGGCAGCACGGGUGCUUGCACCUGGUGACGAGUGGCGAACGGGUGAGUAAUACAUCGGAACGUGUCCUGUAGUGGGGGAUAGCCCGGCGAAAGCCGGAUUAAUACCGCAUACGAUCUACGGAUGAAAGCGGGGGAUCUUCGGACCUCGCGCUAUAGGGGCGGCCGAUGGCGGAUUAGCUAGUUGGUGAGGUAAAGGCUCACCAAGGCGACGAUCCGUAGCUGGUCUGAGAGGACGACCAGCCACACUGGGACUGAGACACGGCCCAGACUCCUACGGGAGGCAGCAGUGGGGAAUUUUGGACAAUGGGCGAAAGCCUGAUCCAGCAAUGCCGCGUGUGUGAAGAAGGCCUUCGGGUUGUAAAGCACUUUUGUCCGGAAAGAAAUCCCUGGUCCUAAUAUGGCCGGGGGAUGACGGUACCGGAAGAAUAAGCACCGGCUAACUACGUGCCAGCAGCCGCGGUAAUACGUAGGGUGCAAGCGUUAAUCGGAAUUACUGGGCGUAAAGCGUGCGCAGGCGGUGAUGUAAGACCGAUGUGAAAUCCCCGGGCUCAACCUGGGAACUGCAUUGGUGACUGCAUCGCUUGAGUAUGGCAGAGGGGGGUAGAAUUCCACGUGUAGCAGUGAAAUGCGUAGAGAUGUGGAGGAAUACCGAUGGCGAAGGCAGCCCCCUGGGUCAAUACUGACGCUCAUGCACGAAAGCGUGGGGUGCAAACAGGAUUAGAUACCCUGG
rnacentral:rRNA from 1 species